rnacentral:snRNA from 1 species
UCAACAUCUCAGCCUUUUGGCUAAGAUCAAGCAUUUUUGGCACCAAGGGAGGAUGUUAGAACUGGUUCUGGCCCUUCCAAUGCUGGCCUGGUAUUGCAGUACUCCAGGCCUGGUGCCAGUUC